ACUACGGGUGGCAGCAGUGGGGAAUCUUGCGCAAUGGGCGAAAGCCUGACGCAGCGACGCCGCGUGGGGGAUGAAGGUCUUCGGAUCGUAAACCUCUGUCAGCAGGGAAGAACGGUCACUGUGCUAAUCAGCAGUGAAUUGACGGUACCUGCAAAGGAAGCACCGGCUAACUCCGUGCCAGCAGCCGCGGUAAUACGGAGGGUGCGAGCGUUAAUCGGAAUUACUGGGCGUAAAGCGCUCGUAGGCGGGAUGUCAAGUCAAGGGUGAAAGCCCCGGGCUCAACGUGGGAACGGCCUUGGAAACUGGGAAACUGGAGUGUGUAAGAGGAUAGUGGAAUUCCAGGUGUAGGAGUGAAAUCCGUAGAUAUCUGGAGGAACAGCAGUGGCGAAGGCGACUAUCUGGCACAUAACUGACGCUGAGGAGCGAAAGCGUGGGUAGCAAACAGGAUUAGAUACCCUUGUAGUC
rnacentral:rRNA from 1 species